CUCCUUCGGGAGUGAAACUCGUGGAACGAGCGGCGGACGGGUGAGUAACACGUGGGCAACCUACCUGUAAGAUCGGAAUAACCCCGGGAAACCGGGGCUAAUGCCGGGUAACACCUACCCUCGCAUGAGGGAAGGUUAAAAGAUGGCUUCUUGCUAUCACUUACAGAUGGGCCCGCGGCGCAUUAGCUAGUUGGUGAGGUAACGGCUCACCAAGGCGACGAUGCGUAGCCGACCUGAGAGGGUGAUCGGCCACACUGGGACUGAGACACGGCCCAGACUCCUACGGGAGGCAGCAGUAGGGAAUCUUCCGCAAUGGACGAAAGUCUGACGGAGCAACGCCGCGUGAACGAUGAAGGUCUUCGGAUCGUAAAGUUCUGUUGUUAGGGAAGAACAAGUACCGUUCGAACAGGGCGGUACCUUGACGGUACCUAACGAGGAAGCCCCGGCUAACUACGUGCCAGCAGCCGCGGUAAUACGUAGGGGGCAAGCGUUGUCCGGAAUUAUUGGGCGUAAAGCGCGCGCAGGCGGUUCCUUAAGUCUGAUGUGAAAGCCCACGGCUCAACCGUGGAGGGUCAUUGGAAACUGGGGAACUUGAGGACAGAAGAGGAGAGUGGAAUUCCACGUGUAGCGGUGAAAUGCGUAGAUAUGUGGAGGAACACCAGUGGCGAAGGCGACUCUCUGGUCUGUCUCUGACGCUGAGGUGCGAAAGCGUGGGUAGCAAAC
rnacentral:rRNA from 1 species